ACAGAAUUACCAUCUGAAAUGAAAACAGCUAAACUAGUUUAUAAUUAAACUAAACGAAAAAAUUAAUUUUAAUUUUUUUAAUUAAUUAAUUUUAUAAUUUUGAAAAUCAAGGACGAAACUCUAUCGACCUCAUUUAAAAAUCAUGGGAAGAAAAUUAAGUACUGCAUUGUCUGAUGGAGUAUUGGCAAUUUCUUCAUUGCUAGCUGCUUGGAGAUUACAUCAGUCAUCUGCAAAUUGGCAUCUUCAUUUUCUAGCUUCAACUUUAAUGCUGGAAGAAACACCAUUAUUUGGUAUAAGCUGCUUCUUGCUUGUUGCACUUGCUUCUUCUUUGGGAACAGUUCGAUUCAGUAAGUACUUAAAUUAAUAUAGACAUAGUUCAUCUUUCUAUAAAAUAUUGAUUCACUUCGGC
rnacentral:lncRNA from 1 species